rnacentral:rRNA from 1 species
UACGUAGGGUCCGAGCGUUGUCCGGAAUUACUGGGCGUAAAGAGCUCGUAGGUGGUUUGUCGCGUUGUUCGUGAAAACUCACAGCUCAACUGUGGGCGUGCGGGCGAUACGGGCAGACUAGAGUACUGCAGGGGAGACUGGAAUUCCUGGUGUAGCGGUGAAAUGCGCAGAUAUCAGGAAGAACACCCGUGGCUAAGGCGGCUCUCUAGUACGGUACUGACGCUGAGACGCGAAAGCGUGGGGAGCAAACAGG